rnacentral:lncRNA from 1 species
GGAUCGUCUCGAAAGGGACGCGAAAACGGCCACAUCUCCGCGAGGCUCCCCGAAAUAGGAGCCGCSUUCCCGCGGCCCUCGUUGCAGGGUUGCAAUCUGCGAGAGUUGUGCAGCGCUGGCCUCGUUCGGAGGGAAAAAGGGCGACGCUGGGAGCUUCUGGCUUCUAGGAAAAGGGGGCAAAUUGGAGACCUGUGAACCGCGUCCCGGGGCUGGACGGCGCUGCCCCUUCGCCCGCCGCGCCGGACGCAUCGACCUCCGUCGGCACGUGGAAGCGCGAACCCAUCGCGUAGGGCCAACGGGGACCGCRAGCCUCGGUACCGGGGAGAAAACCCUCGUGCGCUUCACGAGGUUGGCAAACRCCAGCCAAAGCGCCUCGCCGUUGAAACGUAAAACAAAAAUGUAGGAAAGGAGGAGUUAAUUCAAUUAAACGCYUUCCCACCCACAUUUUACCUUUCCUCAGCGCUCAGGGGAAUCAUUCMUGGGAUGUAUAUCACCAGCGGACUUAUUUUUACCGUUAUUUUUAACUUAAUGAGUAUACCUUACGUAUCAGAGAGAAAGCACAAAGGUUAAAUUUUACAUUAAGAGCACAUUGCGCCAUGKUAUGCAAAUAUUGCUAUGCAAAUGYAAAGCCAGCGGAAGAUAAAUGUGUUAUAUUUUUAACCAGUUAACUAUGACUGUGAAGUAUGGUGCAAGAUAUUCAGUAGUUUCAUUUUAUAUCUUUCUUGUAAAUAAUGCAUAAAGUAUGUAGAUGUUGUCAAAAUAUGAUUAAGCUAUUAGCUUUAUAGUUUUCAUAGUUAAGAAUGUGUUCAGCAUGUAGCUCAUAAUAACUCAUUUCUAAACGCAGACACCAUUAUAAAAUAUUUCUUGUUCAAGUGAAUGUUAUCAUGUGACAUAAUGAUUUUGCUUAAAACCAAGUUAAAUGAGGAGUAAAAUUAAACAAUAUUGCAUGAAUUGUGUUUGACUAAUUUUGUGUCACAUUAUAUUAGCCAAGCUUUCAAAAUAUGUGUUAAUGACAAAUAGUGUAAGCCCCUAACAUACUUUAUAUGUCUGUAAAAUCACCCUUAAGUCAUUAGCAUUUAAAGGUUCAUUUUGUUUGCAGUUUUUGUAGCCACUGGCUUUUUCGUGAUUACUUUUGUCUGUGAAAGUAGACAUGAUUAAAAAAAUAUAUUUUACGUAAGUCUUUGGGACUUACGGACGCAUUGUGGGGAC